GAUGAACGCUGGCGGCGUGCCUAAUACAUGCAAGUCGAGCGAAUGGAUUAAGAGCUUGCUCUUAUGAAGUUAGCGGCGGACGGGUGAGUAACACGUGGGUAACCUGCCCAUAAGACUGGGAUAACUCCGGGAAACCGGGGCUAAUACCGGAUAACAUUUUGAACCGCAUGGUUCGAAAUUGAAAGGCGGCUUCGGCUGUCACUUAUGGAUGGACCCGCGUCGUAUUAGCUAGUUGGUGAGGUAACGGCUCACCAAGGCAACGAUGCGUAGCCGACCUGGGAGGGUGAUCGGCCAAACUGGGGCUGAGACAAGGCCCAGACUCGUACGGGAGGCAGCAGUAGGGAAUCUUCCGCAAUGGACGAAAGUCUGACGGAGCAACGCCGCGUGAGUGAUGAAGGCUUUCGGGUCGUAAAACUCUGUUGUUAGGGAAGAACAAGCGCUAGUUGAAUAAGCUGGCACCUUGACGGUACCUAACCAGAAAGCCACGGCUAACUACGUGCCAGCAGCCGCCGUAA
rnacentral:rRNA from 1 species